GCGGGCAAGGUGUUGUGGUGGCACUCCUGCCUUCCAAGCAGGAAGCGCGAGUUCGAUUCUCGCUGCCCGCU
rnacentral:tRNA from 1 species